UACGUAGGGCGCAAGCGUUGUCCGGAAUCAUUGGGCGUAAAGAGCUCGUAGGCGGUCUGUCGCGUCUGCUGUGAAAACUCGGGGCUUAACCCCGGGCCUGCAGUGGGUACGGGCAGACUAGAGUGCGGUAGGGGAGACUGGAAUUCCUGGUGUAGCGGUGAAAUGCGCAGAUAUCAGGAGGAACACCGGUGGCGAAGGCGGGUCUCUGGGCCGUAACUGACGCUGAGGAGCGAAAGCGUGGGGAGCGAACAGG
rnacentral:rRNA from 1 species